rnacentral:lncRNA from 1 species
GUAAAGAGUCUAUGACUGUAACAUGGGAGGGGAAAACAGCAUGCCUGAUUGCAGCACCUGCUUGCACAGGUAAACUUAAUCAGAGCGCCAGGUAUCAGCUGAGCUCUGUUCAUCCAGCAGCAAUUAGCCCACCUCAGCUGUGAAGAAUUUAGCUAAACUCAUCAACAGUAUUCUGAGAAGAGGGAUGAUAGGAAAAGCUGUGUUUAGACUUCAUGCCUUACCAGCUGGAGUGGGGGCUGCUGGUGUUGCCUUCUGUCAACAGGGUCUGUGGGGUGACAGUCUGCUUGGAAAGCUCUGCCUCGCUCACAAGCUGAUAAGGAGAAUAUGCCAAGUCAACCAGAUGAGUCAGCACAGGCAACAUAAAGGACCGCAGUUAAAAGCUAGGGCUAGGACUUGGAGGAUGUGUAGGCAAACGGAAGGAGAGCCGGGGGAAGAAAAGCCGAAAUGGAUUCAUUCUCCGUCCUGGCUGGAGGAGGAGAGGAGCGGGGACGUGCGGGCUGCCUGCAGCUGCCUCUGUCCGGUGAGAAGUGCUCGCAGCCCCGCGGCUGACUCGGGCUCAGGAGUCCGCGCGGACUUUCGCUCUAAGCUGCCAAUCAAACCGCUAACCGCCACCACCCUGCGCCGGCACCGACAUGAAACGGAAAAAAUCCAGAGCAGUUGGUACACACGUUCUAACGUCAGGAAGGCUUUGCAGAAAACGCAGUGAAUCCUGCAGCAGUGUGAAUGAUUAACCCGGACCCGGAGCGGGGCUGCUGGGCUCCCCUGGAAACAGCAGUGCUGAGGGGGCUGUAAAGGGCUCGUAAAGUUUUCCCUCCGAGGGGCAGAAGUUGGCGCAUUGAGUGAGGCUGUAACCAAAACAGGAGCGCUUCCCGGGCUCGCUCGGUGCCAGCUGCGGGUCGGUCCUAAAGCCGGGAGGGAGCCGGGGGUGGCACGCACCUGGCAGCGAGGGGUGGGGGCAGCUCCACGCUUGUCCUCACUUGGAGGUAAAGUGCGGUUUUACUUUAUGUAUGUCUUCUGGAAAUAGGCUUUAUGGAUGUCCGCAUUUCCUCCAGGUCUCGAGGAGCAGAAGAGUGGAGGAAACAAAUCCUAAAAGCAAAAGGGAUGCGGGGCAGGUUUGCUCGCUCUACCCUUCCUUUCUCCUCCCCCAACUCCAGGCACGGCUGCAACAAGCCCGUCCAGGGCAGAGGGGUGCCGGAAGCAGCCCCGUUCCCUUGUCACACCCCAACCCAAGCUGGGGGGGUUCAGAUUUUUAAUGUGUCCUUCAGGUUUUUCUUGUCCACACACGCAGGCCUAAGCCCUUAGAGGGAUGCCAGGGAGCGGCCACGCUCCCUCCUGAAAAGGCUCUCUCGGGUCAUCUUGGGGCAGAGGACAGCAGAUAGACACAUGGGAAGCACUGAUGGCAUUAUUUAUAGCACCAUCUCUUUGCUCCGAUUAAGCGCCGUCUAAAUAUGAAUUCACAAUAUGGACAGCUAGUCUGUAAUUUGAAUUAAAAUCCCCCCAACGAGCCCGUCACUUGAGAAUUCUGAAAUCACAAGCCUAAGUUGUCACAAUGAGCCCAUGGUGUCAAUAAACCAUGGACGAGAUGGAGAGAUUGUCA